CGCCUCCGCCACCAUGGAA
rnacentral:snRNA from 1 species